rnacentral:rRNA from 1 species
AUUGAACGCUAACGGCGUGCUUAACACAUGCAAGUCGAACGGCAGCACAGUAUGUAGCAAUACAUAUGGGUGGCGAGUGGCGGACGGGUGAGUAAUACGGAGGAAUCUACCUUGUAGUGGGGGAUAAACCGGGGAAACUGGGGCUAAUACCGCAUAAUCUUUACGAAGCAAAGAGGGCCGCGGAAUAUGCUCUUGCGAAAAGAUUAGCCUAAGGUGGAUUAGCUAGUUGGUGGGGUAAAGGCCUACCAAGGCGACGAUCCGUAGCUGGUCUGAGAGGAUGAUCAGCCACACUGGGACUGAGACACGGCCCAGACUCCUACGGGAGGCAGCAGUGGGGAAUAUUGGACAAUGGGCGAAAGCCUGAUCCAGCAACGCCGUGUGUGUGAAGAAGGCCUUAGGGUUGUAAAGCACUUUCAGUGGGGAAGAAAAGUUCAAGGCUAAUACCCUUGAAUCUUGACGUUACCCACAGAAGAAGCACUGGCUAACUCUGUGCCAGCCGCCGCAGUAA